GUACACGAGCGGCGAACGGGUGAGUAACACGUGGGUGAUCUGCCCUGCACUCUGGGAUAAGCCUGGGAAACUGGGUCUAAUACUGGAUAUGACUACAGCAUGCAUGUGUUGUGGUGGAAAGAUUUAUCGGUGCAGGAUGGGCCCGCGGCCUAUCAGCUUGUUGGUGGGGUAAUGGCCUACCAAGGCGACGACGGGUAGCCGACCUGAGAGGGUGACCGGCCACACUGGGACUGAGACACGGCCCAGACUCC
rnacentral:rRNA from 1 species